CGGCAACGGAUAUCUCGGCUCUCGCAUCGAUGAAGAACGUAGCGAAAUGCGAUACUUGGUGUGAAUUGCAGAAUCCCGUGAACCAUCGAGUCUUUGAACGCAAGUUGCGCCCGAAGCCAUCAGGCCGAGGGCACGCCUGCCUGGACGUCACACGCCGUUGCCCCC
rnacentral:rRNA from 1 species